rnacentral:rRNA from 1 species
CGGACGGGUGAGUAAUGUCUGGGAAACUGCCUGAUGGAGGGGGAUAACUACUGGAAACGGUAGCUAAUACCGCAUAACGUCGCAAGACCAAAGAGGGGACCUUAGGGCCUCUUGCCAUCGGAUGUGCCCAGAUGGGAUUAGCUAGUAGGUGGGGUAAUGGCUCACCUAGGCGACGAUCCCUAGCUGGUCUGAGAGGAUGACCAGCCACACUGGAACUGAGACACGGUCCAG